UACGUAGGGUGCGAGCGUUAAUCGGAAUUACUGGGCGUAAAGCGUGCGCAGGCGGUUCGUUGUGUCGGCGGUGAAAGCCCCGGGCUUAACCUGGGAAUGGCCGUCGAAACUGGCGAACUGGAGUGUGGCAGAGGGGGGUGGAAUUCCGCGUGUAGCAGUGAAAUGCGCAGAUAUCAGGAGGAACACCAAUGGCGAAGGCAGCUCGCUGGGACGGUACUGACGCUGAGACGCGAAAGCGUGGGGAGCAAACAGG
rnacentral:rRNA from 1 species